AACCCUUGACAUGUGUAUCGCGGUUCCAGAGAUGGUUCCUUCAGUUCGGCUGGAUACAACACAGGUGCUGCAUGGCUGUCGUCAGCUCGUGUCGUGAGAUGUUCGGUUAAGUCCGGCAACGAGCGCAACCCACAUUCUUAGUUGCCAGCAUUCAGUUGGGCACUCUAGGAAAACUGCCGAUGAUAAGUCGGAGGAAGGUGUGGAUGACGUCAAGUCCUCAUGGCCCUUACGGGUUGGGCUACACACGUGCUACAAUGGUAGUGACAAUGGGUUAAUCCCCAAAAGCUAUCUCAGUUCGGAUUGGGGUCUGCAACUCGACCCCAUGAAGUCGGAAUCGCUAGUAAUCGCGUAACAGCAUGACGCGGUGAAUACGUUCCCGGGCCUUGUACACACCGCCCGUCACACCAUGGGAGUUGGGUCUACCCGAAGGCGGUGCGCCAACCAGCAAUGGAGGCAGCCGACCACGGUAGGCUCAGCGACUGGGGUGAAGUCGUAACAAGGUAGGCGUAGUGCU
rnacentral:rRNA from 1 species